rnacentral:rRNA from 1 species
UACGUAGGGGGCGAGCGUUGUCCGGAAUUACUGGGCGUAAAGGGCGUGUAGGCGGUUGGAAAAGUCUGGCGUGAAAUUCUCCGGCUCAACUGGGGAACUGCACUGGAAACUUUCUGACUGGAGUUCGGGAGGGGUUACUGGAAUCCCCGGUGUAACGGUGAAAUGUGUAGAUAUCGGGGGGAACACCUGUGGCGAAGGCGGGUAACUGGACCGGGACUGACGCUGAGACGCGAAAGCGUGGGGAGCAAACAGGAUUAGAUACCCUGGUAGUCCACGCUGUAAACGAUGAGUGCUAGAUGUAGGGGGUAUCGACUCCCUCUGUGUCGCCGCUAACGCAAUAAGCACUCCGCCUGGGGAGUACGGUCGCAAGAUUAAA